GGAUGGGUGGCCGAGUGGUUUAAGGCUCUAGUCUUGAAAACUAGCGGACUCGCAAGGGUCCCGUGGGUUCGAAUCCCACCCCAUCCG
rnacentral:tRNA from 1 species